rnacentral:lncRNA from 1 species
CCCUACCUUACUCAGUCUUCAGCCCGGACAGAAGCAAAACCACAGGCCCCCUCUCCCACCCCACUCGCGCCGCGUUUCCUUUCCAGCCUCUUCCCUGAGACACUAGAUCAGGACCAUUUGCCUUUUCUUAUCUCUGUGUGUUUCCUAACACAAUUUUAAAACACCUCUGAGGCUUCAUAGAGGGGUAAAGUGUCAAAAGAAAUACACGAAUAAGAGUAAAACGUGCCGUCUUCACAGCCUUUAUCAAGAAAGCAGCCACAGUUGCUGCUGCUCUGGCCGCACCUCAGCGGACUGGUUUGUCCUCAUUGGUUUGUCCUCAUUUGUUUUUUAACUCGGCCUUAAUCUCUGGACUUUGUUAUGCCUUAAAACAGACACACACAUACACACACUUGAAAAUUGCCUUAACCCCCAGAUCAUACUCAUUUGUUCCAUUCAGAUGUUUACCUCGGAAUUAAGGACUUCUGUAUAGGAUUUGAGAGAAAACACAACAGCCCAUUCUUACUGACCUUUGGUAAAGUUCUGCGUGGGAAAGGGAGCAAGAAGGAGGCUAAAAUAAUUCUGAGAGUGGCUUUUCUGUAAAAGGCAGUCUGUGGCAAGAAUUGUUGGAACAGAGACUUGCCAUGCUGGUUCUGCAUCAACAGUCUCUCUAGCUCAGCAAUCUGAGAAUACACACGGAUAAAGUGCUAUCAGUUCAAUGGAAAUUGGCAGGUUUUCAGAGGGUGUGACUGCAGAAGACUAUUGUUCAAUUUCAAAAAUGAAACCCUCCAGAAGCAAUUUCAAAGUUAUACAAAUCUUUCACGUAUACUGAGAGUGCAGGUGAAGAUCAUCCAUUUUCCACAUAAAAAUAAAUUGUUAAGGACUUUUAAAUGAACACCCCUACCUAAAAUGCAGUGUUCUGUUUGGAAAUCUGUACAUUAUACAAGUGAAGAGCAUAAUAAAUCUUGAA